rnacentral:rRNA from 1 species
UACGUAGGUGGCAAGCGUUGUCCGGAUUUACUGGGCGUAAAGGGCUUGUAGGCGGUUCGUUAAGUCUGGUGUGAAAUCUCCCGGCUCAACCGGGAGGGGUCAUCGGAUACUGGCGGACUAGAGACAGGUAGAGGAAAGCAGAAUUCCCGGUGUAGCGGUGAAAUGCGUAGAUAUCGGGAGGAAUACCAGUGGCGAAGGCGGCUUCCUGGCCUGUUCUUGACGCUGAGGCGCGAAAGCUAGGGGAGCAAACGGG